GCUAAGCAUUUCACCCGGCGUGCCAACGUUUCUGCCACCUCACCCAUUUAAGAGUACUCUUCAAUCAUUGGGCAAUAAACUGCACUUGCGAAGACCUGUUGAGGCAAGUUAAGUUAUUGUCAUGGCCGAUGACAAUACCGCCUGAUUGGCACCUGUGUCGGUAGCACAUAAAAAGCACCAUUCAAGCAUGGUUGAUGCCAGUGCUACCUG